UGACAGGUGGUGCAUGGUGUCGUCAGCUCGUGUCGUGAGAUGUUGGUUAAGUCCCGCACGAGCGCAACCCCUAUUGUUAGUUUGCCAUCAUUCAGUUGGGCACUCUAGCGAGACUGCCGGUAAUAAACCGGAGGAAGUGGGGAUGACGCCAAAUCAUCAUGCCCCUUAUGACCUGGGCUACACACGUGCUACAAUGGUUGGUACAACGAGUUGCGAGUCGGUGACGGCGAGCUAAUCUCUUAAAGCCAAUCUCAGUUCGGAUUGUAGGCUGCAACUCGCCUACAUGAAGUCGGAAUCGCUAGUAAUCGCGGAUCAGCACGCCGCGGUGAAUACGUUCCCGGGCCUU
rnacentral:rRNA from 1 species